AUGGUGAUGGUGGAAAGAGCAUCCUUAAAUGCCAUCCUUAUCUUUCUCUUACCUGUCUUUGCCUGGGUUUAGAAGCAUGAGUCCUCGAAAUGUGAUGGACUAAAAGAGCUUUCCCCUCAACCAAUCCCUUCCGGCUCACACCUUCUGCCUCCACUCUUUGCCCUUGGGUUGGAUUAGAGUUGCUUUCUGCUAGAGAGGCUUAGGAGAGGGAGCUCCCAUUAAGUUUCCAGCGUACUACAGCGAUGAUGAACAGUCUGUGAGAAAAGAUCAGUCAUAAACAGGUGCUCUCACAAGAGAAGAAUGUCCCAUUGGGAGCGGUACUGGCAGUGUAGCAAUGAGGAACUCCCCCUGGCCUCCCCUCUCUAUCCUUCCCUGUUCUUCCCUGCUACUUUUUGAAAGCCAUCUCGGGAUUCUCAUAAGGAAGAUUGGCCUGAAGGUGAGAGUCAAGUCGUAGUGGUUUGUGUGCUCUCAUUUCUGUAUGGGCACAUUUUUGUGUGGUACAGUAAGAGCCUCCUAAAAAAAUAAACAGAAUUUGCAGUGCUACUGAAGACUCCGUUUCAGCAAAUGAGUGAACAUAUUCGAUGAAACUCAGAGGGAGACUCUUUCUGUCCAGUUUACCAAGGAAGGAAAGGUUGCAGCAAGGACUCUGCAGCGUUGGCUGCCAGCCGUCUGGGCCAGCAUGGAGAAUGGAGUGGUGCUGCAGAGGUAAGCCUGCUGUGCCCAUGGCCAGCCAGCAUCUGUGGAGUAGGUGAUGCUUUGGAGGGAGGGAGGGAAGGAUGCAGACAGACGGAAAGAGGGGAUGACUGCAAAGCACAGCUUGCCAGCAGCCUAUGGAAACCAAAUCCUGCAGCAGAGGGGGUCCAGCCUGAAGCAACUUUUACUUAAUAAAGAUAUGUAUGCUUGACAGAUAUUGUGAGGGUCUUUCUCCAGGAGUGGGGAGUCCUCUGGAGCUGUGCUGGGGUAGGGGCAAGAGCACGAGAAUAUCUGCCUGCGUGUCUAGGCUGUUUCCCACCCUCUUGAGCUCUGUGGUCCUCAAUCUAGUUGUUUAUUCUUUCAGCAAAGAGCCACUAGGACAACGUUCAGGAGAACUGGAUGGACUUGCACUGUCACUGGAAACAGGAACAAUGGCCAGUUCAGAAGGAGACUCAGAAAGGAUGGUGGAUGAGAGAAGGACGACCUCUGAAACAACAAACAAGGUGCAUGGAGCUGAAAGCAGUUUCACAUUUUCUGACUUAAGAGGGAUCCUCAAGGGAUUUAUUUAUUUAGGUCCAGAUUAGGAGUUUAUUAGACCUUGUACAGUUGCUUUAGGCCUAGCAGUACCUUUAGAAGAUCCUCUAAUUGAAUAUGUUAUUAUGUUUGCUAUUUUGAUCAUUUGAUUUAGACUUAUUCAUUCAUUUGUUUGUUUGUUUAUUUUAUUUAAAGCUAACAACUUUGAGUAUAAAAGUACUAAAAAGGUUCAUAGAAUAUUAUACAAGAAAAAUAAGCAACACCAAAACACAUUCAGAGCAGUAAAGUACACCAAUCCAUUAAUUGAUGCUGAAAGCCGCCCGGAGACUCUUGCAGAGUGCGGGCAGCAUACAAAUCGAAUGAAUGAAUGAAUGAAUGAAUGAAUGAAUGAAUGAAUGACUGAAUGAAUGAAUGAAUGAAUGAAUGAAUGAAUGAAUAAAUAAAUUUUAAAAACCCA
ensembl:lncRNA